UUAACGGAUACACCUGAUUUCUUAGUUCCAGCAACAGUUUCACCGAUCAGCUCUAGUGGCGGCUUUCCAGCUGUAUCUGGCCCAUGGGAUGUUUUCUUCUUAGGAUGGAGCUACUAUCAAAAUAGCCCUGCCUCCUGGGAUGGACCCAGAGUGCUAGCGCAAGGCCUUGUGCCCAGUGACACUCCCAGCUUUUUUUGGAUCUGGUCCAGAUUGGCUCCUCAACUGGGAAGGCUUAGCCCAUUCCCUACCCAGCUCACAGUGUGCCCAGAGAAAAACUGGCUUUGGAUGAUAGUUCUUGCCCUCCUACACAAAGUAUUUAAAUUCAUUCAAAAUCAUUAUUGCUCCAAAAUUUUUACCUUCCACACAAUGGACUAUGAGUACCUCCUUCCUGGGAUCUGGGCUUUAUUCAUAAUCCCUGGACCUGGCACAGAAAGCAAGGUGCUUAAUAAAUACUGUUUAUAAAUGUUUAAACACGCUUGCCCAAAUGAGGAUGAAAUUUGCUAUCUGACUUGGCCUUUCUAAUUAUGUAUUCUCAAAACUGAUUGAAGCUUGCAUGUGUUUAUCAUGUAGUACUUAAUUACACAUGGGCAUGUGUGCUUCAUUGUUUAUUUCAUGUGUGGUAGCCAAUCUCCAAGAUGAUUCUCACCUGGGAUUCAUACCCUUGCUUGGUCCCCUUCCACACUGAACAGAGCUCACCUGGGUCACCAUGAAAGUAUCUCAAACAUGACACAUUCUGACCUCCAAGGCUGGGUCAUAAGAGACAUUGUGGCUUCCACUGUACUCAUUUUGGAUCCCUCAUCUGGAAGAAUCCAACUGCACAGCAUGAGCGCACUCAACCAGAGGUCCAUGUCGUGGAACUGAAGCCUUCUGCCAACACCAGCACUAACCCGACAGCCAUGUGAAGGAACUCUUUUGGAAAUGACCCUCCAGCGCCAGUCCCGCCUUCAGAUGACCACAGCUCAGUAUCUCGACUGCAAGCUCAUGACACCCUCUGAGUCAGAACGACCCAGCUGAGCACUCCUCAAUUCCUGACCCACAGAAACUGUGUGUGAUAAUAACUGUUCAUUGUUUUAAAUUACUGAUGUUUGGGGUUAAUGUGUUACACAGCAACAGAUAGCUAAUAUAAUGGGUGACAGGCUCUUCUUACCAAAUAGAUGAUAAGCAUCUUAAAAAGAAGAAUCAUAUCUUUCAUUUCUUUCAGUGACUCGCAUUGUAUUGAGAUAUUAGUCAAAAGAAAUGAUGGUUUUGUGCUUCACAAUUACCUUCUAGUCAAAUCAACAAGUAUUUAAUGCCCACCAGACACUCUCUAGGAGCUAAGGAAAGCAGUAAACAAAAAGGAACAAAGUAAAUGCUAGUGGAUAAGACCUAUAGAAAUUAAAAAAAAAAAAUAUGGACCAGGUCAAUGAAGAUAUGAAGCCAAGAAGAAAAAUCAAAGAUGGGGAUGCUAUUUUAUGUAUUUGAUAUAGGGUGUCAGGAAAGCUUUCUCUGAUGAGACACUUAAGCAGAGAACUAUGCAUGUGUCUGGGAAGGAGCAUCCCAAGCAAGGAAAUUGCAAGUUCAAAGGCCAUGAGACUGGAAGAAUGUAGCCCGUUCACUAAGACCCAUAUGGCUGAGGCUGAGUUCACCAUUUGUUGCAGAUUUCACUAGUUAGUUCAUUGUGUUUCUCACCAGUCCAACUACACAUUUAAAUCUCUCUCAGUGGCUUGGACUCCUCUUUCUCUUGUUUCCUGAAUUUGAAUUGGGCACUGGAUGUUGGUGUAACAGACCUAUUAAUGUAAAUGAAUCAUUAUAUAAACAUGAACAUGGCUAACGAGUCAAAAUAGGCUAAUAUUUGUAGCUGGAAUGGAGAAUUAGAAAAUUCACUGAUUGCAAUCUUCCUUUCAUUAUUUCUGCCACUUGAAGCUUUCUGACUUCAUUAAAGCCAUUAAUGCCCACCAAUAAAUUACAUAGCUUUUGUAGUAACACAAAUAUGUGUGAAUGUUUCUGACAUUGCAGGAAAUAAUCAGGCUCAAUCAAUAUAUGUUUAUCAAGACAUUAGGUCUCAAAUCGAUGAGUAAUUAGCUCUCCCAACAGGAGAACAAAUAAAACUCUGUUUCCUAAAUGUUCCUGUCAUUCUAUGCCACGAAUUUCACCUCUUUUCCCUCUCUUGCUGCAAGAAACACAUGUCAAAAUGAAUCGAGUGAUCACUGACUAAUGAGAUCUGCUUUGAUUACAGCAUGUUGGUGAUCAUAAAUAAAUGAAAUUGUGUUUGUAUUUCAUAGAGAUCUGCACUAUUUUAAUCUUGCAUUUCACCUCAGAUAAACAAGUUUAUCUUUAAUAGGUAAACACCCCUCUGAAAGGCAUUAGGCAGAACUUUUUAAAAAUCUUUUAUUGUUAUGUUAAUCACCAUACAUUACAUCAUUAGUUUUUGAUGUAGUGUUCCAUGAUUCAUUGUUUGUGCAUAACACCCAGUGCUCCAUGCAGAACAUGCCCUCUUUAAUACCCAUCACCAGGCUCACCCCUCC
rnacentral:lncRNA from 1 species